UGGGGAAUAUUGGACAAUGGGCGAAAGCCUGAUCCAGCCAUGCCGCGUGUGUGAAGAAGGUCUUCGGAUUGUAAAGCACUUUAAGUUGGGAGGAAGGGCAUUAACCUAAUACGUUAGUGUUUUGACGUUACCGACAGAAUAAGCACCGGCUAACUCUGUGCCAGCAGCCGCGGUAAUACAGAGGGUGCAAGCGUUAAUCGGAAUUACUGGGCGUAAAGCGCGCGUAGGUGGUAUGUUAAGUUGGAUGUGAAAUCCCCGGGCUCAACCUGGGAACUGCAUUCAAAACUGACUGACUAUAGUAUGGUAGAGGGUUGUGGAAUUUCCUGUGUAGCGGUGAAAUGCGUAGAUAUAGGAAGGAACACCAGUGGCGAAGGCGACCACCUGGACUAAUACUGACACUGAGGUGCGAAAGCGUGGGGAGCAAACA
rnacentral:rRNA from 1 species